rnacentral:rRNA from 1 species
UGGCUCAGGACGAACGCUGGCGGCGUGCUUAACACAUGCAAGUCGAACGGUGAACUCCGCUUGCGGGGGGAUCAGUGGCGAACGGGUGAGUAACACGUGGGCAACCUGCCCCUGGCUCUGGGAUAACUCCAAGAAAUUGGGGCUAAUACCGGAUAUGACCGCUGACCGCAUGGUCUGGUGGUGGAAAGAUUUAUCGGCUGGGGAUGGGCCCGCGGCCUAUCAGCUUGUUGGUGGGGUAGUGGCCUACCAAGGCGACGACGGGUAGCCGGCCUGAGAGGGUGACCGGCCACACUGGGACUGAGACACGGCCCAGACUCCUACGGGAGGCAGCAGUGGGGAAUAUUGCGCAAUGGGCGAAAGCCUGACGCAGCGACGCCGCGUGGGGGAUGACGGCCUUCGGGUUGUAAACCUCUUCAGCAGGGACGAAGCGCAAGUGACGGUACC